ensembl:lncRNA
UUUCAAAAAUGAGGUACCAUUGGAUUCCCUGGAUCAAGACGAAUUCAACACACCCUAUGGCGUCAAUGUCCGGUUAUAUAGAUUUUCCGCAAUUUCCGGUUUUAUCAAAAACCUUUGAAAGGCAUCAACUCCUACAAUUUUUGUCAAAUCUUCUUCAAAAUCACCAGAGAUGAUCUUCAGACCAAGCCUCACAAAAGUUCUCCAACAGAAUUUUGAUCCUCACAACCGUUUGUCCGAUACAGCCACUCAAAUGCAGCAGAAAAGCUUUCAAACAGGAAGUGAAGUCAUAUCUCAGCAAAUCUUUCAGAUAUCAACACCAAACUUGGUAUGCACGUGGAAGACACUACAACAUGUUCCCAUGUGCAAAUGCAACUUCAUAUCUUCAAAAAUGAUUGAUAUAAAGCAUUUAUAUUGCAGUGUAAAAAUGUGGACACUAUUUGCCCUAAACGGGCGCCAUCUUGGCUACGUCGCGAAAGAGUAGGAGCUCUUUCAACAGCUUUUCAAUUCAUUUCUAAAACAAUGGCGGACGAGAUGGCUACGGUGGCUAGCAAUAGCUCACGAGGCUACAGACCGUAAAUGCCAAAGAAAAGGACUCACUCUGAAGACUUUUCCAAACAACACUUUGAACAGGUUUCCCCAUCUCCUCCCAUACCAUGGGCCAGAGGAGCAUGACCACCUGGGUGAGGAGUUUCUGAAUUAUCAGACCAUGCCAACCACCUCCCUUCAGGACGAAACUGAGAUGGAAAGCUUCUGGGCUGGAAUGGCAACACGGAAACAUAAGGUGGCAGGAACCAAAGAAUUUGAGAGGCUUGUUGCCGUCGCCAAGCUGGUCCUGGUGUUGCCCCAUUCGAAUGCAGAUGCUGAGAGGGUGUUUUCAGUGUUCAGUGGGACUGAACAAAACUAAGACCAGAAAUAGCCUGGCAUUGGAUGGCACCCUGUCUUCAAUAAUGGCCAUAAAGAUGGCCGACCUGGAGCCCUGUUUCAGAUGGGAGCCCCCCUCAGAGGUC